rnacentral:rRNA from 1 species
GUAGGGAAUAUUGGGCAAUGGUCGGAAGACUGACCCAGCCACGCCGCGUGCAGGAAGACGGCCCUCUGGGUUGUAAACUGCUUUUAUCUGGGAAGAAAAAGGCCAUGCGUGGCAAAUUGCCGGUACCAGAUGAAUAAGCACCGGCUAACUCCGUGCCAGCAGCCGCGGUAAUACGGAGGGUGCGAGCGUUGUCCGGAUUUAUUGGGUUUAAAGGGUGCGUAGGCGGCUGAUUAAGUCAGCGGUGAAAGACUUCGGCUUAACCGGAGCAGUGCCGUUGAUACUGGUUGGCUUGAGUGUCGGAGGGGUACAUGGAAUUGAUGGUGUAGCGGUGAAAUGCAUAGAUACCAUCAGGAACACCGAUAGCGAAGGCAUUGUACUGGCCGACAACUGACGCUGAUGCACGAAAGUGUGGGGAUCGAACAGGAUUAGAAACCCCGGUAGUCC